rnacentral:rRNA from 1 species
UACGAAGGGGGCUAGCGUUGUUCGGAAUUACUGGGCGUAAAGCGCACGUAGGCGGAUCGAUCAGUCAGGGGUGAAAUCCCAGAGCUCAACUCUGGAACUGCCUUUGAUACUGUCGGUCUAGAGUAUGGAAGAGGGUAGUGGAAUUCCCGGUGUAGUGGUGAAAUGCGUAGAUAUCGGGAGGAACACCAGUGGCGAAGGCGGGGUCCCUGGACAACACCUGACACUGAGGACGCGAAAGCCAGGGGAG